rnacentral:rRNA from 1 species
UACGGAGGGUGCAAGCGUUAAUCGGAAUUACUGGGCGUAAAGGGUGCGUAGGUGGUUUAAUAAGUUAUCUGUGAAAUUCCUGGGCUCAACCUGGGGUGGUCAGAUGAGACUGUUAGACUCGAGUAUAGGAGAGGGUAGUGGAAUUUCCGGUGUAGCGGUGAAAUGCGUAGAGAUCGGAAGGAACACCAGUGGCGAAGGCGGCUACCUGGCCUGAUACUGACACUGAGGCACGAAAGCGUGGGGAGCAAACAGG